GCAGCAGCAGCAGCAGCAGCAUCCGUCAGCGGCGCAGGAGGCAGCGGACAUGCGCACUGCGGACACCAGCAGGGUUUUCCAGAGUCGGAGCUGAAUGAAGAGACGCUAAAUGGAGAAGAAAGCGCUGCUGAUAAAGUCACAGAGGAUUAAAAAGCCGCAUGAAACACUCCGCGAUAAAAUGGAAAACACUAUAACUUUUGCAUGUUUGUGCUCACUGUUCCAAAUGGACUGGCACCUGCACAGAGACGUGGAGUUUAUAAUACAGGGGUGCAUUUGGGCUCUGUUGUCACAUUGUAGCUGUUUAUUAAAGUGAGGUUAUGUAACUAAGUGAAUGUACUUGUAGCAUUCACUCUGGAAUAGUUCAUUGUUGGCCAUCAGGAAUCCCAGCACCUGCCAGUCACAAUCAGUCACAGUCACUCUCAACACCUGAGCCAAUCACCGGCAGUCUCUCUCCCACCUGGAAUCCACCCCUGUUCCCUUGUUUGAAGUCCAUCAGCUUCAUACAGUCACAGACAGUCACUUGAACAACAGGAUCACCCCACACCACUCAUCUCUGGAAACCAUUCACUUUUUCACAAGCCUGGAAACCUGGAAAUCACAGCAUCAAAGAGGACGCCUUCAACUGCUUUUGGAUUUCUGGAUGCCACCCACCUGAACCAACAUUGUGCUGAACAUUGAAUAUUGGUGAGCAACUAAUGGAAAAUGUGAUGAAUGACUGAUGAUGAUGCUGAUGAGGAUGAGGAUGAUGAUAGUUAUGAAGCCUGUCUGCUGAACAGGUUAGAUUUGAACUGAUGGCGAGCUACCCUGGACCAAACUGGAAAACCGUCUGACAAGUUUCACCCCUCCCUUCCAGAAUGGUGUGGUAGGACUUGUUGGAGAUUUUGAAAUUGUUUGGAAUUGUUUUGUGAAUCGGCUUACCUUUCACUUCAACUAUGAAUUGUCAGUGGACUAUUGAUAUUGAACAAAGCACAUAGUCACUUUAUAUUGUUUAAAGUGAAGCUGCUUAUUGUGGUUUGGAUUGAUUGAAGGAUAGGUGAAGGUUUGAUUUUCUGAUUUUGAUUUUCUGUUCUUGUUUUGUAUUUUUGUGUUGUUAUUUUGAUCAUUGUUUUGCCUUGAUACAUUCAAGUAUUUUCUGUUGAUUAUUUUAAUACAUUACCGG
ensembl:lncRNA